rnacentral:rRNA from 1 species
GACGAACGCUGGCGGCGUGCUUAACACAUGCAAGUCGAACGGAAAGGCCCUGCUUUUGUGGGGUGCUCGAGUGGCGAACGGGUGAGUAACACGUGAGUAACCUGCCCUUGACUUUGGGAUAACUUCAGGAAACUGGGGCUAAUACCGGAUAGGAGCUCCUGCUGCAUGGUGGGGGGUGGAAAGUUUCGGCGGUUGGGGAUGGACUCGCGGCUUAUCAGCUUGUUGGUGGGGUAGUGGCUUACCAAGGCUUUGACGGGUAGCCGGCCUGAGAGGGUGACCGGGCACAUUGGGACUGCGAUACGGCCCAGACUGCUACGGGAGGCAGCAGUGGGGAAUAUUGCACAAUGGGCGGAAGCCUGAUGCAGCAACGCCGCGUGCGGGAUGACGGCCUUCGGGUUGUAAACCGCUUUCGCCUGUGACGAAGCGUGAGUGACGGUAAUGGGUAAAGAAGCACCGGCUAACUACGUG